rnacentral:piRNA from 1 species
UUCUGCUUUACGAGUAGCAUUCAGAUGCAGC